rnacentral:rRNA from 1 species
AUUGAACGCUGGCGGCAUGCUUUACACAUGCAAGUCGAGCGGCAGCGCGGGGGCAACCCUCGGCGGCGAGCGGCGAACGGGUGAGUAAUACAUCGGAACGUACCCAGGAGUGGGGAGUANCCCGGCGAAAGCCGGAUUAAUACCGCAUACGAUCUUAGGAUGAAAGUGGGGGCCGCAAGGCCUCACGCUUUUGGAGCGGCCGAUGUCCGAUUAGCUAGUUGGUGGGGUAAAGGCCACCAAGGCGACGAUCGGUAGCUGGUCUGAGAGGAUGAUCAGCCACACUGGGACUGAGACACGGCCCAGACUCCUACGGGAGGCAGCAGUGGGGAAUUUUGGACAAUGGGGGGAACCCUGAUCCAGCC